AGCAUUAUACCGUGAAACUGCGAAUGGCUCAUUAAAUCAGUUAUCGUUUAUUUGAUAGUACCUUACUACUUGGACAACCGUGGUAAUUCUAGAGCUAAUACAUGCUAAAAACCCCGACUUCGGAAGGGGUGUAUUUAUUAGAUAAAAAACCAAUGCCCUUCUGGGCUCCUUGGUGAUUCAUGAUAACUUCUCAGAUCGCAUGGCCUUGCGCCGGCGACGGUUCAUUCAAAUUUCUGCCCUAUCAACUUUCGAUGGUAAGGUAUUGGCUUACCAUGGUUUCAACGGGUAACGGGGAAUUAGGGUUCGAUUCCGGAGAGGGAGCCUGAGAAACGGCUACCACAUCCAAGGAAGGCAGCAGGCGCGCAAAUUAUCCAAUCGCAAUACGCGGAGAUAGUGACAAGAAAUACUGAUACAGGGCUCUUUUGGGUCUUGUAAUUGGAAUGAGUACAAUUUAAACCUCUUAACGAGGAACAAUUGGAGGGCAAGUCUGGUGCCAGCAGCCGCGGUAAUUCCAGCUCCAAUAGCGUAUAUUAAAGUUGUUGCAGUUAAAAAGCUCGUAGUUGAACCUUUGGCCUGGCUGGCAGGUCCGCCUCACCGCGUGCACUUGUCCGGCCGGGCCUUUUCUUCUGGAGAACCGCAUGCCCUUCACUGGGUGUGUUGGGGACCAGGACUUUUACUUUGAAAAAAUUAGAGUGUUCAAAGCAGGCCUUUGCUCGAAUACGUUAGCAUGGAAUAAUAAAAUAGGACGUGCGGUCCUAUUUUGUUGGUUUCUAGGACCGCCGUAAUGAUUAAUAGGGCCAGUCGGGGGCAUUAGUAUUCAGUAGUCAGAGGUGAAAUUCUUGGAUUUACUGAAGACUAACUACUGCGAAAGCAUUUGCCAAGGAUGUUUUCAUUAAUCAGUGAACGAAAGUUAGGGGAUCGAAGACGAUCAGAUACCGUCGUAGUCUUAACCAUAAACUAUGCCGACUAGGGAUCGGGCGGUGUUAUUAUUUUGACUCGCUCGGCACCUUACGAGAAAUCAAAGUUUU
rnacentral:rRNA from 1 species